rnacentral:rRNA from 1 species
GACGAACGCUGGCGGCGUGCCUAAUACAUGCAAGUUGAGCGCUGAAGGUUGGUACUUGUACCCACUGGAUGAGCAGCGAACGGGUGAGUAACGCGUGGGGAAUCUGCCUUUGAGCGGGGGACAACAUUUGGAAACGAAUGCUAAUACCGCAUAAAAACUUUAAACACAAGUUUUAAGUUUGAAAGAUGCAAUUGCAUCACUCAAAGAUGAUCCCGCGUUGUAUUAGCUAGUUGGUGAGGUAAAGGCUCACCAAGGCGAUGAUACAUAGCCGACCUGAGAGGGUGAGCGGCCACAGUGGGACUGAGACACGGCCCAAACGCCUACGGGAGGCAGCAGUAGGGAAUCUUCGGCAAUGGACGAAAGUCUGACCGAGCAACGCCGCGUGAGUGAAGAAGGUUGUCGGAUCGUAAAACUCUGUUGGUAGAGAAGAACGUUGGUGAGAGUGGAAAGCUCAUCAAGUGACGGUAACUACCCAGAAAGGGACAGCUAACUACGUG